GACGUAGGGUGCAAGCGUUGUCCGGAUUUAUUGGGCGUAAAGAGCUCGUAGGCGGCUUGUUGCGUCGACCGUGAAAACCUACCGCUUAACGGUGGCUUGCGGUCGAUACGGGCAGGCUAGAGUUCGGUAGGGGAGACUGGAAUUCCUGGUGUAGCGGUGAAAUGCGCAGAUAUCAGGAGGAACACCGGUGGCGAAGGCGGGUCUCUGGGCCGAUACUGACGCUGAGGAGCGAAAGCCAGGGGAGCAAACGGG
rnacentral:rRNA from 1 species